AUUGAACGCUGGCGGCAGGCUUAACACAUGCAAGUCGAGCGGAGCGAGGGUGCUUGCACCUUAGCUUAGCGGCGGACGGGUGAGUAAUGCUUAGGAAUCUGCCUAUUAGUGGGGGACAACAUUCCGAAAGGGAUGCUAAUACCGCAUACGCCCUACGGGGGAAAGCAGGGGAUCUUCGGACCUUGCGCUAAUAGAUGAGCCUAAGUCGGAUUAGCUAGUUGGUGGGGUAAAGGCCUACCAAGGCGACGAUCUGUAGCGGGUCUGAGAGGAUGAUCCGCCACACUGGGACUGAGACACGGCCCAGACUCCUACGGGAGGCAGCAGUGGGGAAUAUUGGACAAUGGGGGGAACCCUGAUCCAGCCAUGCCGCGUGUGUGAAGAAGGCCUUUUGGUUGUAAAGCACUUUAAGCGAGGAGGAGGCGCUCUAGGAUAAUACCCUAGAUGCGUGGACGUUACUCGCAGAAUAAGCACCGGCUAACUCUGUGCCAGCAGCAGCCGCAGUAACAC
rnacentral:rRNA from 1 species